UUUUUCAACGAUAUUUUUAUU
rnacentral:piRNA from 1 species